AUAGCAAAAGCGAAGAUCGUUGCAGACAUGGUUGCUGCCACUGGUACCAUGGACACUGCCAAAGAUGCUGUCGAACUGCCGAGGAGACCCCUGAAGUCACAUCUGGAGAUGAGGAUACCGUAACCGCAGAUCGUUGCAGACAUGGUUGCUGCCGCUGGUACCAUGGACAUUGCCAAAAAUGCUGUCCACCUGAAGAUCGUUGCAGACAUGGUUGCUGCCACUGGUACCAUGGACAUUGCCAAAGAUGCUGUCCACCUGCUGAGGAGACCCCUGAACAUCGUUGCAGACAUGGUUGCUGCCGCUGGUACCAUGGACAUUGCCAAAGAUGCUGUCCGCCUGCUGAGGAGACUUGCAGACAUGGUUGCUGCCACUGGUACCAUGGACAUUGCCAAAGAUGCUGUCGAACUGCUGAGCAGACCCCUGAAGCUACAUCCGGAGAUGAGGUCAAAAAUUAACGCUAAAUAAAUAAGGGCGUGACACAGGAUCCGUGACACCUAUAUUAUUACCUUAAUAUGUUAUGUUGUGUUUGCUUUUAAUGGUUGAUUUCCUAUAUGUGUAAAAGACUUGUGCGGCUUCUCUUUGAAUUGGUGUAGAAUCAACGGGGGAAGCAUGUAAUGAGUAUUCAGUUCGAGUGCUCUUCUUAUGUUGUUGUCAUGUUGAAUAAAUAAAUCUACUUGAUCAUCUACUACAAUUGAUGAUCUUCUUAUGUUUUUUUUUCACUUUAUCUUCCUUCAAGAUUUUUGGUGGAAAUGCUUCAUUUAUACGAAUUUUCCUAGUUAGUAAAUGCUUCUAUUACACUUGUACAAUACACAUUUAAAAGUAUAACACAACAAAAGCUUGUGUAGUUCAUAUAUUUAAAAAAUAUUCAUACUUUUCAACUAAACUAUAAAAAUAUGUAAUAAAUUCUUUAUACAUUAUACUUUACGAACUAUACUUUAAAUUUUAAAAAUAUUUAAUAGUAUCACUUAUCAAUAACUCCACAUGUUAAUUUGUCUUCCAAUUCAGUAAAUUAUAGUAGCUAAUUCUCAAAGCUAACCGACACCAAAAUUCCCUCACUUGUUCAGCUCCUAGUGGAUUUAUAUUAAUUACAUUGCAUUUAUUUCCUAAGCAUGAGUUUUGUAACCCCUCAUAUUAAAUCUCAAUGAUUGAUUUUAACGGUUACCCAGGCGUCUAGUAAUUGGUUUGCUAUUAAUUUGAACUAGACAUUUAUUAGGUCUAGUAGAAUUUAUUCCUUCUUAUCACUUAGUUCAUAAACCUUACGAAUCGUUAAAACCAGCUCUAACAUCAGCUAACAAGACUUCUACAAUUUCGGGUUUUGCUUAGAAAUCAGUCUGAUAGGUUAACUUGCUUCGUCCAACUUUAUGAGUUGCUUCUUUUUUCUUUUUUUUUCCAUAUUUGACAUUUCAUCUUACUUUAAUAUGGGGACCAAGUUAGUAUUGUUGACAUUUCAUAUCUAAGACUUCUUAAUUAAUUGAUUUGUUAUAAGAACUAUAACGUAUGCGUGUUUUGUAAGCUUUCAUGUUUUUUUAUUUUUUCAAUUCUUGUGGACCAGCAACGGAUAGUUUCUUCUAGUACCAAUCUUCCUUUGAAGUUCUUUAAUUUUUUUUUUGUGUCCAAAUGUAAAUUAAAAGAACCAACAACUUUGAACAAGUCUAUAUCUAGUAAAGAUAGAUAUAAAGAGGGAUACUAUAUCACUGCAACAAAAAAGGGAUUUGGCGAGGAGCAAAAGUCCACGCCAAAAUUUUUGACUUCGUCGCCAAUUAAUUUCAGCGAGAAAAAUGCUUCCUCGUCAAGUUUCUUGCUAGAUGCUCAUCGCUAAAAGUUAUUAGAGAGGAUGUUGUUGCUUUUCUCGCUAAUGAAACAGAUCAAUAGCAAGGAUUGACCUCCUCGCCAAUCUGAUUCAAAUACUAUGGCGAGAAAAGCUUUCCUCACCACUAAAGUUAAAAACUCCCCACAAAAACCAGUAGUUCCUAGCAAAUAGUCAAGGUGUUCUGCUAGGAAAAAUAGCGCAUCCUUACCAAUAGUAUAGAAUUAGCAAGGAUUCUUUUGACAAAUCUGCAAUGCCUCGUGUACCAGUAAAACAUUUUUGGCCAGGAAAGUUUCCUCUCUAAUAAGCAAUAAUUGAUUAUUGUCUAACUGUUUGGUGGGAAAAUGUUCCUCUCCAAUGCUGUUAUGAACAUUUCUUAAUCCCAUUUAGCAUGCUAAUCUUAAUUCUCUGAGCAAAUUACUGGGUGGUUUUAUUAGAAAAUUUAGCUGCAAAUAGCUUCAAUUUGGCUUCUCAUGUGUCUGUUGUACAUUUUCCAGGUUCUUAUAAGUAUCAAAUUGUUUGGCAAAAUUUUUUUUUAAUGAAUCAUGACCAACGUAGCUGCUCAUUAAAUUUAAACUCAUAAGCCCUAGUAUUUGAUAGCUUUUUGGAAUAUCACUUGGUGCCAACAACCCCCUUUUGCUACUUUGAUAAACAUUCAAUAGAAAACAUACAAAAGCUUUGGUUAGCUAAAAAUAAUUGUUAGCAAAGUAAUACAUCAACAUCCAGCUCUUUCAACAUCUUGAGCCAUACAAAUAGGAAGUGCUUGAAAUCAAUUGGCAAUCCAAAUUUUUUUUAGCUCAUUAACCAUCCAAGAAAUCGCAACUUCAAUAAGUCAUUACAAAAGAAGAUUUCAUCAAGAGAACACCACAAAAAGGAGAAGCAGAAAAAAAAUAUAAGAGAGAGAGAGAGAGAGUUAAACUAGUCAUAUGGACACAUAUUUGUCACCUCAGUAUUUCCAAUUCCUUAAUUCAGUCCAGUUAUCUUGGAACUCUAUCGGCAAUCCAUGGAACAUUUUUUGAAUGACAAUAUGCUGUUGCAACCUUCUGGUGAAGACUUCAAAGGUUCUAUGAUAGGUUGCAUUUUUGUCAUUAAUUCUAUGAUUAUUUUCCUCAUUUAUAUUACCAAAUAUUGUAUUAAUUGAUUGAUUCUACUUAUAUUUGGUAUUUUGUGUCAAUUGUAGGAAGGUGGAGCAAAAAAUAAUAAAAGAGGUGAUUUUUCAAGAGUUUUCCAUUUCAAGAUGGAGUUUACGUGGAGUAUUGGAUGAAAAUUAGGAAACUACCACUUUUUAUUAGAUGUCUUAUUAGGGAACAAUUAGCAAUAGUUGGAGAAGUUUCCUUUUGCAAUUAGAAUUCUAUUUUUAGUUGGCCAAUGGACUGCCGAAAUAAUGGACUUCAAUUAGGAAACAAAGAGAGAAAAAAGGCCGGAAUCCCGCGUGAUUACUACCUUGGAGGGAACAAGAAAAAGGAGACGUCCGCUGGUCUCUUCUUUAGUGAGUCUUUUGGAAAAAACCAAUGGUUAUCGAUGGUGUCCUGCGGAUCUCUCCUGAUGAUGUGUAGCUAAAUCUCCGUUUUCUAGUCGAAUGUCAAUUUGAGGACUCGAUUCCAAACAUAUUUGAUAAGAGAAUAUUUAAUGUACAUUUUGUACAAGUUUGGCAUGAACUUUUGAUGUGUUUUGAGAAGAUUAAAGCCAUAUUUGAACUCUUUUGGUGAUAAAUGCUUAAAUAUUAUGUAAGUGUUCAAAACUUGAUAAAUGAGUGGAUUAAUGCGUUAAUUUUGUGAAAUUGUGAAGGAUAUUGAUAUAUGAAAUUCAUGCACGAGAUGAAGGAAAUGUAAGGAUCGUCUAGAGGAUAAAGUACAAAAGAAACUAGGAGCAAAAAUGAAGAAAAAGGAAAGAAGUGAAAAACUGGAAAUUGAUCAGCACAGAUUUGAGCUCGGAUCCGUGUGAACAAAGGGCGAUCCGAGCCCUCGUCUGCACUUCUGGAGCAGUGCAUCCGAGGCCAGACAAUCUGAGCUCGGAUUAUUAAGAGAAAGACCUCGGAUCAGCCUUGAUCCGAGCUCAGAUCGUAGUGCACACCUCGGAUCCAGGUCUCGGAUCUGCCUCUCUUCUGCAAGUGGCACGGCCGUUUUUUCUCAUUUUCACACAACUUUCCAGCUAUCUUGGGUGAGAGAAUUCGAUGGCACAUGCUUCUGCAACAAAAGGGAAGACAAAAUGAGUUAUUGAUAAGUCAAAACAACAUUUCUUUUGACUUUCUUUACAAAAUCUGAGUUGUUGGAAUCAUGAAGGAGAAGAAAGUGCCUUUCUACCACCUUUUAUGCAGAGAACUAAGGAGAAGUCAGGCAUCACCAUAUGGAGGAGUUUUUCAUCUUGUAACAUUUUUCUCUCUAGCUAGAAGUUCUAAAAACAAGCACUUGGAGAUUUCACUUGUAAUCAUCUUGUACAAGACAUAGCAAAAAUUUGAGGGUUUCACCAUUAAUUGGCUAAGCUUUUCUUUAUCUUUCUUGUACUUGUACUUUAUGAUGUUUUGCAUUAAUAAACUUGUGAGUUUGAUUGUUAUAUUAUUCAUGAGUAGCUAAAUUUCUUUAUCUAGAGAGUAGAUAAAUGAUAUGAAUUGAAUGUGAUUUACACUUGUUAUAUCUUGUAUUAACUUGUCUAUUUGUGCAGUUGUAAUUACUUGUUGUUGUUUGAUCACCAAUAGCAUGUUUAUAGUUGUUAUUAGUCAAUAAGAAUUGGUAGUAACAAUAGAAAAAAUAUGAGUAGAGCUUGAGUUGUAUGUUCAUGAAAAUAGAUGUACACUUAAGUGGAUUAGCUAGCAUUUCAUGAAGGAAAACAGAGUAGAACUGGUAGUUCACCAUGAAAAUAGGGAAAACUGGAUUACUCUAGGCCAUUUUAUCAUGAGAAUGAGAUUUGGCAAUAUUGAAAAUGAAUCCCUGGUUAAACAACAAUAAUAACAAGAGGUAAAUCUAUUCAUUUGUGUUGUUUAUACCAUAAGUGGAAUCUACAUCCCUAGAUUUAUUCUUGAGUGAAAUUUAUCCAUUUGCAUUUAGCAUUUGUUAAACUAGAUUUAUAGACAACAACAUUAUAAUUUCUCUGCUCAAAUUCAUUUAUAAGUCUAAAUAAUAGAGAAAAUAAGGGCCUAGUACUUAUUUAAAUUGCUCCUCGUGGGAUCGACUUGAUACAUACCUUACAUUACGAUUUCGACCUGUAUAGUUGCAGUCAACGGGUAUAAAAUCGAAUUCAAACUUGCAUUGAUAUAAAAAUCCCGUCACAUAUGUGAGAUCGAAUUAUUUUACUUAUUUCUUUUAUUCAUUGGUAUUUGUACAUUUUCUGAUUUAACUUCAUAUACUUGUUAUGUUAUUUGAAUGUCAAGGGCUCGAUAUUCGAAUUAACCUAAUAAUCUACUGUUAGAUUAAUUGAUUGAAUCCCUAAUUGUUCAAUUGAUUAAUACCAGUGGCAACUAGCGUGAUUAGUUUCAUGUUAAGGAAACAUAUGAUCUAACUUAAACGAACCCUCGUAGCGUGUUUGUUAAUUAAGGUUGGCUUUUCUAAUUCUUAUUGCAAUUGAGAAAUUAAAUCCUAUAGUCGUACCUAGGGUUAUUUCUUGGUUAGAAAAAUAGUUAAUGGUCGUACCUUAACUAUCGAAAAAGUAAGAAAAGAUUGGUUGUUUAUCGCGUGUAUAACAACUAUAACCAAUCUAUUAAUUAGUAAUUGAAUUAUCUUUGCAUCGAUGAUCAGUUGAAAGGACCAUGUCUGAAAAGUUGCACCUUUGGCUAGAGUUGUAUUGGUUAUUGAUUAAUUCCUGUUUAUUUCUAUUAGUUGUUUCAUUAGUUGAUUAAUUAGUUAUUUUAUAUUUUUCAAAAACCCCCCAUACUUCGGACUCUGGAAGAAAUGAAUUAUCCCCAAUCCCUGUAGAUUCGACCCUGCUCACCGCUAUAUACAAAUUUGUAUUUUUCUUGAGUAGGUAAUUAUUAUUGCACAUGUUCAACACCUGUCAUUCUAUAACUGUAUACAGAGUCAUCUUUUUCAAAGAUUUCCCAUGCUGCAAAAUGUACUCUACGAGCUUUAUUUCACCCUGUUCCUGAAGAGUUUGCUUGAUCCGAUAUACCCGAAUGGGAUGGUUAUUUCUUUCACAAAUAAUUAUGAAUUUGUAGACAGGGCAAGUAGGGUCGUAUCCACAGGGACUGGGUAUAUUUGUUUCUUAAGAAAUCCAAAAUAACAUAGGGGGGUGAUUUUGUAGGAACGACGACAAUAAAAUAAAUUCAAUUAAGAAAAUAAAAAUAAAUAACUAAUUAGAGAUUAAACAACAAUUCACUGAACUUAGAGUAAUAAUAAUUAAAGGCCUAAAUCAAUUAAAACAAGGAAGCAUGAAAAUAGAUGUACACUUAAGUGGAUUAGCUAGCAUUUCAUGAAGGAAAACAGAGUAGAACUAGUAGUUCACCAUGAAAAUAGGGAAAACUGGAUUACUCUAGGUCAUUUUAUCAUGAGAAUGAGAUUUGGCAAUAUUGAAAAUGAAUCCCUGGUUAAACAACAAUAAUAACAAGAGGUAAAUCUAUUCAUUUGUGUUGUUUAUACCAUAAGUGGAAUCUACAUCCCUAGAUUUAUUCUUGAGUGAAAUUUAUCCAUUUGCAUUUAGCAUUUGUUAAACUAGAUUUAUAGACAACAACAUUAUAAUUUCUCUGCUCAAAUUCAUUUAUAAGUCUAAAUAAUAGAGAAAAUAAGGGCCUAGUACUUGUUUAAAUUGCUCCUCGUGGGAUCGACUCGAUACAUACCAUACAUUACGAUUUCGACCUGUAUAGUUGCAGUCAACGGGUAUAAAAUCGGAUUCAAACUUGCAUUGAUAUAAAAAUCCCUUCAAGUUUUUGGCGUCGUUGCCAGAGAGUGGCAAUAUUAGGGUCUAAUCAUCUCUAUUAAUUUAGAUAUUUCUAUUGUUUUUAAGUUGUUUAUAGUUGAUUUUGCAUUAAUUUAGUUUUUGACAAUUAAAGCUGCAUAAUUUCUCUUAUUUCUAUUUGUAGUAAAUGCAUCGAACAUAUCGAGAAGUUACACCUUUCGAUCCAAAAAUUGAGAGGACACUUUGUAGACAAAGGAGCGAUAUACCGCAUCAAGAGGAACAAGAGAUUUGACAGCCGAUAGAGGAAAUUUUGAAAGAGCUACCGUUUGAGGAAGAAAUGGCGGAAAACAAACCAAAUAGGCGAGUUUUACGAGAUUUUGCUUUACCGGGGACACAAAGAUCUCAAACUAGCAUUGCAAAACCAACGGUAAAUGCUAAUAAUUUUGAGAUUAAACCAUCACUGAUUCAAAUGGUUCAACAAUCUCAAUAUGGGGGUAAUGCAACCGAAGAUCCAAAUUCUCACUUGUUAACAUUUCUUGAAAUCUGUGAUACAAUUAAGUUUAAUGGUAUUAGUGAUGAUGCAAUUAAACUUCGAUUGUUUUCAUUUUCGCUAAGGGACAAGGCCAAGGUUUGGUUAUAAUCUCAUCCUUCAAAUACUUUUACUACUUGGGCUGAAUUAGCUAAGGCUUUUCUUAAUAAAUUCUUUCCACCUGGAAAAACUGCUAAACUUAGAAUGGAUAUAACUAGUUUCUCUCAACAGAAAGGAGAGACAUUGUAUGAAGGUUGGGAGCGCUAUCAGGAAUUACAACGAAGAUGUCCUCAUCAUGGUUUACCAGAUUGGCUUAUAGUGCAAACAUUUUGCAAUGGUCUCACUUAUCCAACAAAGACGCAUGUAGAUGCAGCAGCGGGAGAAGCAUUGAUGGAAAAAUCAGCCAAGGAAGCUCAACAAUUGAUUGAAGAAAUGGCCGCUAAUAACUACCAAUGGGCCAACGAACGAGGUAAUACAAGGAGAACCGUAGGUAUGCUUGAAGUAGAUACCUUAAAUAUGUUAAGUGCAAAGAUGGAUAAUGUGGUUAAGAUACUUAAUAGGCAUGUUGGUUCUAGCUCUAAUCAAGGAGUAGUUGUUACAUGUUCUACUACUUGCAGCGGAGAUCAUGAUGAUUCUAUGUGUUCUAGCAGCGAACAAGUUCAAUAUCUCAACAAUUACAACCGUCCACCCCAAAAUAAUCUAUACUCCAAUACCUACAAUCCAGGAUGACUUAAUCAUCCGAAUUUUGGAUGGAAGGAUCAAGGGAACCAACAAAAACCAGUUAAUCCACUGGAUUUUCAACCGAAGCAACCACUUCCAGAGUCCAAACCAGCUUGGGAAUUGACAAUUAAGAAGCUGGCAAAUGUAUCAAAUGAUAAAAUUGAAAAGUUAGCUAGUGUCACUACUCAACGAUUUGAAAGAAUUGAGGGAAUGAUGGACCAACUCACCAAUAUGUAUAGGAAUGUUGAGAUCCAAUUAGGGCAAAUAGCAAAUGCAGUUAACAAUCGCAACCAAGGGGAUUUACCUAGCAAGACUGAGGUGAACCCAAGGGAGCAUGUGAAGGCCAUAACCUCCGUAGUGGUAAGGAAGUAGGUGAGCCACCUGUAGUUGAAAGUGAGAGAAAAUAUGAAAGAAGAGAAAACAAGCAGUUGAGUGAGUUAGGAGAUGAUAACAAAACAAUUGAUGGGAAAGAAAAUGUGGAAGAGUGUGAGCCACAAAUUGAAGAGGCAACACUAAUUCCUCUACCGGUGCCAUUUCCUCAAAGAUUGAAACCUUCAAGAAAUGACAAAGAAUUUGAGAAGUUUGUUAACAUUUUCAAACAAUUACAUAUUAACAUUCCUUUUGUUGAUGUUAUUUUACAGAUUCCUUCAUAUGCAAAGUUUCUCAAAGAAAUAAUGACUAAGAAAAGGAGGUUAGUAGAUAGUGAAACAAUUUCAUUAACGGAAGAAUGUAGUGCCAUCAUACAAAAUAAAUUGCCACCAAAGUUGAAAGAUCCGGGGAGUUUCACAGUUCCUUGCACUAUCGAUAAUGUAGAAUUUUCUAAAGCACUACGUGACCUUGGUGUGAGUGUUUCAUUGAUCCCUUUAACUGUGACUAGGCAAUUGGGGUUGAAAGAGUUAAAACGUACUAACAUUUCCUUGCAAUUGGCUGACAAGUCUAUUAGACAUCCAAUGGGCAUUUUGGAGAAUAUGCUUAUUAAAGUGCAGAAAUUCAUUAUUCCUGUUGAUUUUAUUGUUUUAGAUAUGGAGGAAGAUGUCAAUGUACCUAUUAUACUUGGUAGACCAUUUCUGGCCACUGCAGAUACAAUAAUAGAUGUUAAAUGUGGUAAAUUUAAGUUCCAAAUUGGUGAAGAGGAAGUGGAGUUUGAUUUGAGUAAAGUGGAGAAGUAUCCCUCUUUUACUGACCAUAUUUAUUCUAUUGACAUAUGUGAUGAAUUAGCGUUAGAGAUAAGUCAAGUUAAUCUUGAUAAUGAUUCUCUUGAACUUUGUCUUAAUGAUGUAGGCUUACAAGAGGAACAAGUUGAAGAAAUGACUGAAUUUUUGCAGGUACAAAUUCCUUACAAAAGGAGAAAUGCGUAUGAGGAGUUAGGGCUGAGCAAAGGGCUACCUCCACCAUCGUGUGAGCAAGCUUCACGGCUUGAGCUUAAGCCACUCUCUAAACACUUCAAAUAUGCAUUUCUUGGAGAAAAUGAGACAUUGCCGGUGAUUGUCAAUACUGCACUAGAUGAGGAACAACUAGGAAAGCUUUUACGUGUUUUGAGGAAACAUUUAAAAGCUAUAGGAUGGACAACUUUUGAUAUCAAAGGAAUUAGUCCAACUAUUUGUAUACACAGGAUUUUGUUAGAAGAAAAUUCUAAGCCGGUGGUUGAAAUUCAAAGAAGGUUAAAUUCAAACAUGAAAGAAGUGAUAAGAGUACAAAUCCUUAAAUGGCUAGAUGCAGGUAUAAUUUUUCCAAUCUCUGAUAGUGUUUGAAUUUCUCCUAUUUAUGUAGUGCCAAAGAAAGGGGGGAUAAACAUAGUACGUGGUAAAAAUAAUGAAAUGAUUUCCUCUAGAGUUGUGGUUGGGUGACGAGUCUGUACUGAUUAUAGAAAACUGAAUGCAGCUACUAGAAAGGAUCAUUUCCCUCUUCCUUUUCUUGAUCAAAUGGUAGAAAGAUUGGCUGGAUAUGAAUUUUAUUGUUUCUUGGAUGGUUUUUCAGGAUACAAUCAAAUAGUCAUUGUACUGAAAGAUCAAGAUAAAACCACAUUCACUUGUCCUUACGGCACUUUUGCAUUUCGAAAAAUGCCUUUUUGAUUGUAUAAUGCACCGGCCACUUUCCAACAUUGCAUGAUGGCAAUUUUCUCUGAUUUUAAUGAGAAAAUCAUGGAAAUCUUCAUGGAUGAUUUUUCUGUAUUUGGAUCUACUUAUGAUCAUUGCCUUAACAAUUUAGAUCUAAUUUUGCAGAGAUAUGAAGAAACAAACCUUGUACUCAAUUGAAAAAAAUGUCACUUCAUGGUUUGUGAGGGUAUUGUUCUAGGGCACAAAAUUUCUUCACAAGGUAUUGAGAUAGAUCAAACCAAGAUAGAGGUUAUUGAGAGAAUGCCUCCACCUACCAAUGUGAAAGGCAUUCAAAACUUUCUUGGACACAUGGAAUUUUAUCGGCAGUUUAUUAAGGAUUUCUCCAAGAUUGCUAAACCUUUAUGUGAAUUACUUGCAAAAAAUAUUACUUUUCACUUUAAUGAUGAGUGUUUAUUUGCUUUUAAUAGGUUGAAAAAGGAACUUGUCUCCACAUCCAUAAUAGCAUCACCACCAGAUUGGAGCUUGCCAUUCGAAUUGAUGUGCGAUGCGAGUGAUUUUGCAGUUGGAGCUGUUCUUGGGUAAAAACAUGAUAAGCGACUUUAUGUCAUUUAUUAUGCAAGUAAAAUGCUAAAUGAAACCCAAGUCAACUAUGCAACAACAGAGAAGGAGUUGCUAGUAGUGAUAUUUGCAUUGGAUAAGUUUAGAUCGUAUUUAGUAGGAUCUAAAGUCAUCAUUUAUACCGACCAUGCAGCACUCAAGUAUCUCUUAAAUAAGAAAGAUGCAAAACCUGGACUAAUUCGAUGGAUUUUAUUAUUGCAGAAAUUUGAUUUGGAGAUCAAAGAUAAAAAAGGAUCCGAGAACUUAGUCGCUGAUCAUCUUUCUAGACUGAAAAACAUGCUUCAAGAAGACCAUUCAUCCAUUAAAGAAGAAUUUUCAGAUGAGUUUUUAAUGGCAAUUUAAAAGUCACCAUGGUAUGCUAAUUUAGUUAAUUUUGUAGUUAGUGGAGUGAUAUCAAGUGAUUUGAAUUCCCACCAAAGGAAAAAAUUCUUAAAUGAUGCUAAACAUUAUUUUUGGGAGGAACCAUUCUUUUAUAAACAUUGUGCAGAUGGAAUAAUUAGAAGAUGUGUUCCGGAAGAAGAGGUACACAGUAUUUUAAUACAUUGUCAUACCCUUGAAACGGGAGGUCAUUUUAGUACAACUAAAACCGUAGCAAAGGUAUGACAAUUUGAAUUUUACUGGCCUACUAUAUACCGAGAUGCUAGAAAUUGGGUUAAAAGUUGUAAUUAAUGCCAAAGAACUGGUAACAUCUCUAGAAAGGAUGAAAUGUCUCUAACUAAAUAUUUGGAAGUUGAACUAUUUGAUGUUUGGGGUAUUGAUUUUAUGGAACCAUUUCCUAGUUCUUUUAAUAAUAACUACAUCUUAGUAGCAGUGGAUUAUGUUUCUAAAUGGGUAGAGGCAAUUGUUUUCACCUACUAAUGACUCUAAGGUUGUACUCCGGUUUCUUAAAAAGAAUAUUAUUUGCAGAUUUGGUAUCCAAAAGACCAUAGUUAGUGAUGAAGAAAAAUAUUUUUGUAAUAAACACCUUCACUCAUUGUUUAAAUAUGGCUGCAGGUACAAGACAUCACUUCUGUACCAUCCUCAAGCCAACGGACAAGCGAAACUAGCUAAUAGAGAGAUAAAACUCAUUUUGGAGAAAACUGUAAUUGAAUCACGCAAAGAUUGGGCUACAAAGCUAGAUGAUGCACUAUGGACUUACCGACCGGCAUUUAAGACACCUUUAAGGAUGUCGCCGUAUCGUUUAGUCUAUGAAAAAACUUGUCACUUACCUGUAGAGAUUGAACAUAAAGCUUAUUGGGCUAUUAAAGCAAUUAACGUGAACUUUAAUCUUUCAGGUGGAAGGAGGCUACUUGAGUUAAGUGAAUUGGAGGAACACCGAUUACAUGCGUAUGAAAAUGCCAAAAUUUAUAAAGAGAAGAUCAAAUAUUGGCAUGAUAAAUAUAUUCUUCCUAAGCAUUUUGAAGAAGGGCAAAAGGUGUUAUUGUUUAACUUAAGACUUAAAUUGUUCCCUGGAAAGCUUAAGUCUCGAUGGUCCGGACCAUUUGAAAUAGCUCACACAUUUCCUUAUGGAGCGGUGGAAAUAAAAGGAGAAAAUGGUGCCCCAUUCAAAGUGAAUGAUCAAAGAUUGAAGCUCUAUUUGGCCGGAGAAAGGGUUCCUAAAGGAGUAAUUUACUCCUUAGGAAACACAAUGGAGAGUUAAGAAAACUGUAGGAGAGUCGAGUUUAACGAUUUUAAAUAAAGCGCUUGUUGGGAGGCAACCCAAUAAUAAUAUUGUAGUUGUGUGUUUUUAUGUGUUUCUUAAAUUUUGGUGUUAUUUGAUUGACUAAUUAUAUGUAUUUCACUUGUUGUAGGGGGUGCCGGCAUUUCAACUUCCAUAGGUGCACUUGAAGAACAAUAGUUAAAAGGGAAGUUUUCUUACCAAAUUCUGUUUUAAGUGUUUAAAAUUCCCUUUCAUGUAUAAUAUGUUGCAUUUCCAUUGUAUUCAAGUAAGUUUUAGUGAUAACAUGUUUAUACAUGUUCAUUGAUUCAUUUGAUGUGUAUCUCAUACCUAAGGGAGCCCUCUUAGUGUAAAAGUGCCAAAAUGAUCAAAGAAACUCACCCCUCGAUUUGCAAUGUAUAUGUGUUUGAUGUAUUUUGAGAGGUUGGAUAUUGUGUUUAUGGUAUAUUACACUUGCGUGAAAGGGUAGAAUUGAUAGAAAUUUCGUCCAAGGUGUAAUUUGGAAAUUGCCGAAAAAGGAGGAAAAAGUUUGAAAAAUUGCAAUUUCUGAAAUUGUUGCAGAAAAAGCCAGAUCCGAGCUCGAAUCCGUUAAAGAUUCAAAGACGAAAUUGGAGAUCCAACCUCGGAUCCGAAGUUGUUCACUAUGAUCCGAGGGCUCAUCUGUGUUUCUGGAAGGCCGGAUCCGAGCCUAUAGGAUCCGAGCCUUGGUAUACACGAUCCGACCUCGGAUUGUGUAUUCUUGAAAAAUUCAGCAUAGGGGAUCCGAACUAGGAUCCAACAAAAUCUAGUAGGAUCCGAGGGCUCGACUGAACUUCUGAAGUAGCGGAUCCGAGCCCUAUCGGAUCCGAGGGAUGCCAGAACCGAUCCGACCUCGGAUCUGUGCGCGAUAAAAACAAAUCCGAGGCUUCGGUUCUGCAUUUGUCCAAUUCUCCUUUUCCUAUUUCACCGAAAACCCUAGCCCUUUUUCACCAAUCUUCCAUUUCAUCCAAUAAUUAUUCAAUCUUUCACCACAAAAACAUCUCCCAACCUCUUGUGAUCAUAAACCCUCAACAAAUUCAUUUUAAAAACAUCAAUUUGGGGGGUUUUGAUCUUCAAAACGGGAAUUCAGGCCGCACUGAAAUCUCGCAAUUUGUGGUCGAAUUUGGGCUUGUUUCUUCAUCACUUUGCAUCAUUAUCAUCCUCCACCAUCAAUCUACACAUUUGAGGUAACAAUUUGCAAUUUUCUUUGAGAUUUUAUAAUUCCCAAUUUUACAUUUUUCUAGUUUUGGACAUAUUUUGGUAAUUGCUCAUAAGUUGAAAUUUUUUGAUACAAUUGUGCUACAUUGUGCUUAAAUAGAUUGUCACAACUAUUUUCAUGCUUAGUUUUGAGAGAAUUGUGAAUUUGGUAUUAUUUUGUAGAUUUUUCUUCUAAAAUUUUAGGUUAAUGCACAUGAACUCUUUAAUGAAUGAAAUUACUCCUCUAUGUGAACUACUUGCAUGCUUAAAAUUGAGAAAAUUGUUAUUAUAGUGAUAUUUUUGUAUAUUUUUCUCAAUUUUUAAGUUUAAGCAUGUUAAAUCUUUUGCUUGAAUAUUCCUUGUUCUUAGAGAUAAUUGGCAUUCAUUAAGAAGAAUUGGAGCUCAUUAGUUGGUACUUUGGUGAUAAUGUGUAUAGCCAAUUGGUGUGUAAUUGUUGGAUAAAAUCAUGAGAUAAUUGGCCCGUACAUUCUUGAAGUAAUGAAAUUGAUCUUUUAAGAGUCCUUUUUACUUUGAGAUUAUAUUCUAUUGAAAUAUGCAUCAAUUCUUAAGAGAUUGGACUUUUUAAUGAGAUUCUAAUUAAAAUAUGCUGUUCAAUUGUUGAAAGUGGAAUAUUCAAACAAUGUGUUGAGAUUGUAGAUUGAAAUUGAUAUCAUGCAUGUGCAAUGAGCUUGUGAAUUGGUUAAAUACGAUAUGGCCGUGAAUUUGUUGAUUGUUGGCAGGGAGUUUUUUCCUUUUAUUAGGGGAAACUCUGCCGAAAUUUUCCCAAAUCAUUUUUAAACAUUGUUGGUCGUGUAUUUUCAAGGGAUUUAGAAUUCUUCUAAUGUGUGUUUGAUCUUGUUUUUGAUAUAGGUACCAUGACUCGCACAAGACGAUCUCGUGUUCGCACUCCUUCACCUUCUUCAAGUGAAGAGCAUACUCCUUCAAUGCCUAAGGAGUCACCAGGGGAAGAAUCUCCUUCACCACAGUCGCCGCCACGCUUACGGCGUAAGAGAGCAUCUACGAGCCAUGAGAAGCUAGCUCUAGAUUAUGACACCACUCGUUUUAGACAAAGAGAUCAUAAUUGAAAAACACUUGGCCCCGGAGAUGGAUGACCACUCACUACAAGAAAAUUGUUCAUCAGUGACAACACAAAGUCAUCACAGAACAUACAAAUAUCGUCACAAAUACCUUUUAUUGACGACUUUUCGAUCGUCACAAAGUCGUCACUAAAUCCCCGUCGGUAAAAGUAAACAGUGACGACAUUUUAGGUAGAGCAUUUUUGACAAAAGAUCAAUUCGUCAAUAAAACACUUCCAGAUUGUCGUCACUAAUGACAACUAUUUAGUGACAACUAUUUGGUCGUCACUAAAUAGUUGUCAUUAGUGACGACAAUCUGGAAGUGUUUUAUUGACGAAUUGACCUUUUGUCAAAAAUGCUCUACUUAAAGUCGUCACUAAAAAGCACCGAAAGCCAUUGUAUAUAACUAUUUUACUGACAACAAUUGUCGUCACAAAUGUAACUUAGAUUUAGUGACAGUCUCUGUUGUGACAAGGAGUUUUUAUUUUCUAUUUUGUGACAACUUUUUUUUGUCAUUAGAUAAUUUCAUAAUAGCUUAAUAGUCAUAAUUUGGCCUGUAAUCAUUGCUAAAUCAUUGAUUUUGAACAAACCAUACAAAUAAACAUAAACGAUUGAUAACCAAAAGUAUUUGCAUUAGAUUACAUGGUAAUAAUAUAGCAUUCUCAAAUGCCAAAUUCAAGUGUACAUUGCCCAACUAAUGCCUACAAAAAUAACAUUUGUCCAAAAUAUCACUUGUACAUAAGGUACAUUUACAAAAGCAAUCACAGUUUAAGAAAUUGAAGAACAUCUAAAUGAACCACUCCAUGAGCAAAAGGCAAUUUUGUCUUCAACAUUCUUCAACCAUAACCAUAGAUAUCUUCCAAAAGCUAGUAUGAAUAGCAUUUAUCUGUCAUAAAAGAGUAAAAGAAGUAGGUAAGGGGAGGAGUACAAUAAUAAAGAACAAGUAAUGAGACUUAGAUUAUUAAGACAAAAAUUACAAUUCAUUAAGAAUCUCAUAUAAUUUGGGCCCACAUAUUACAACACCAGCAAGAAGUUAGAAAUCACAGUCCAAUCUAUACAAAUACAACACUGCAUAAGCUCAACUAAAGAGCUCUCUAAAACAGUUUUUUUUUAAUUUUCUUUCUUCUUCUUUAAAUAGCUCAACUUAUUGAACAAUUAAAUUGGACUCCCACAGUAAUUAUUGUUUAAUGUUUAUGCUUUUGGUUGUUUAUAUAUUAAAACUAGGUGAUUGCUUCCCACGCAAGGCAUGGGAACUUUAGACCUGUUAGUAAGGUUGUAUUUGUUAUUGUAAUAUUUUUAAUAUUUUAGAUGAUGAAAAGAGUGAUGUGAUGUGUAUCGUGAACUUGGGCUAGGAGUGAAAAGGAGUAUUAGUCAAAAAUAUAUUAGUUCCAAGAGUAGUCAUGUACUAAUACAAAGGAUACAGCCAAUGCAGUAAUGAUGAUUCACAAGAAAAAGGAAAGCAUGAUAUUUACAUAUACAACAGUAAUUUAGUAUAGAUGAUUCAAAAGAAAGAGGCUCCUUUGACGUUCAAAUACAUUCCAUUAUCAUGUAACAACAACUCAGAUGACAAUGAAAUAAAUUCACAAGUACCAAUCACUUGGUCAUUACUGCAGUAACAGUUAAUGGAAGUAGCAAGAUAUUGCUACAACUUGGUCACAUGCAAAUUUUUUUUUUGUUCUGGGUUCACAAGGAAUGAAUUCAUAAAUUAUGAAGCAGCAAAAUAAAUUCACAAGUACCAAUCACUUGGUCAUUACCACAGCAACAGUUUCAAUACCAACAGUUUCAACUUUCUUGAGACAAUCAAGUUGCAUCUUAAGUUUGCAAAAUAUCAAGUUUUACAUGUCCAUUAAAAAUUUUAAAAAGUACCUUUGCUUUCAUCACCACCUUUCCGGCUUAGGAUACCUCCUUGAACACCACCCCCAUAAAGCCACUGCUUCAUCUGGUUUUACACUCUUGUUGGGUUCCUUUCCAUCAAAGUAGUCCUUGAGAAGUUAUUGGACUUUUGGGAUCCUGGUAGCCCCACUAACAGGAACAAUUUCAUGCAUCUGGUGGUUCUCCAAACCAGCAUCCCCCAUAGCCUUCUUGACAAGUCCCAUGUUUUUGCUAAAGAGGUCAUUGUUCAACUCGUCAAAUCAAGCAUGAGUCUUAACUUGCUGCUGGCUGCUUAAAGCUCUUUUGGCACGGUCAGCUUCCCUCAGUUUUCCAAGUGGUCUGUUGUGGUUGCUGAUGUUCUUUCCAUGUUUCUUGUUAAUCAACUUGAUGAAAUAUUCUAUAAUCCUUUGAUGAAAGCCUUUGCCUACAAUAAAACAGAGCAAUUAGAACCAUAUGAAAGCUUUUUAUAAGAAAUGUAACUAAUAAAACUUAUACAAGAAAUUGGUUGCUUUAAUUAGUGUAGUUAGAUAAACUUUUUUAAUUCGUAGUUAGACAGGCAACUGCUGCUGCUCUGGGUUCAUUGAUAGUCCUAGCAACAUUCAGCCCAGCAAUAAUACCUGCAUUCUUUGUUGCCUGCCUCUGGGCAUCACUGAAGUAAAAUAUGAUUCAACGAGUAACUCUAGAAAUUGAACUAUACCGGGAACAGUUACCACAGCAUCCUUAAUUUUCUUUGCAAGGAAAGCUUCAGCUGCUUCUUUCAUCUUAGUUAAAACCAUUACACUAAUUUCCUCAAGACUGAAGACUUUAACCUUACUAUCCUUAAUUUUCACCUAGAUAUAAGGUUUUCCAUCCUUGUUCACAAUCUUACAAGGAACGAGCUUCAUAUCCCUCUAAACUUCAUUAGUCUCAAUCCUGUUAUAUAACAGUUAAGACUUCAGUGAGCAUAUGUAUACACACCAAAAUGUUCCAGCAAAAAUGAUAAAUACACGAGUGUGCCUUACUUUCAUCCAAUAAAUCUCUUGACAUCAAAGAUAGUUCUUUCAACAUUAACAUCGAAUCAGUCUUUCGCUACCAGCAAAUGCAAUCCAUGAUGGCUUAAUACGAUUCCUUGGUCAUUUGCUGUGAUUUCAACAUGACCAUUUUUGUAAAUAUGAGCACAUGAAUAGGUAGUUCCAAGAUCUAUUCCAAUGACUAUUCCCAAUUUUGCAGCUUAUUCUUUGGUGAUGGAAAUUGUAGAUAGACAGCCUUUUGCACCGAAAAAUAUUAUUGGAAAAAGUAAAACUCUUAUGUAUAGUUUUUGAGAGAAAAAAACUAAAACACUGCAGGAUGAAGCAAUUCCACACUCAUGAUGAAAUCCACAAUUACUCGAGCAACCGUGGGAUUGAAGAGUUCGAAGAGCUUGCUCAAACAUUGUGGUGACCAUCCCAAGAACAAGUGGAAAAAAUAAGAACUCAUUUAAUUUCAAGAAAAUGAAAUGAACAUCAAGUAUCAAACUAACAAACAGUGCAGGAACAGAAGAAGGAUAUGAACUGCGAAGAACAAUCUGAUAGAUAGCCUAGUGGUUAAUGGUUUUUUUUCCCAUCUCCCUUUUUUCUUCCUUCCCAAUCCUUCCUUGCUAAAAAAUGGCUUUGAAAGUAUCAAAUAGUACCUAUCAAAUUAGCGAACUGAGUUAGUUUAAAGAAGAUCCUAUAAUAGUUAUUCUAAAAAUCUUUAGUCACUUGCUACGUGAGGAGGGCGUGGCAGAUAAUAACUCUUUGUUUUUUGGCUCAUUUCGAAUUGAUAUACUUUUUGGCUUAAUUGGAGAGAACUAAUUUGAAUCAUUUCCAACCAGUUUACAGAUAAAAAAAAUUUCAUUUAUGAAAAUGAAAUAGAAAAAAUAAUAGCACAAAAACAAUGAAAAUAGACAUCAAUGGCUAGUAAAAAAAAGGUGUUCUUUUAUCAUUGAAAAUUAGGCCAAUGCUGAUCAAUGAGCUAUAGUUGUUUGACUAUCAACAGACAUAAUAUCAAGAAAUUACGAGAGCUUUUUUUGCUGUAACAUCAACAGGCAUAAUAUCAGAUGUGUAAUCUUGUUUUACCAGAGUUUCUGCCUAUACAGUGAUAAUCUAGCACAUUAACAGGCAAAAACAAUAAUCAGGCAGACAGUCACUGAAUCGAAUAAUCAGGUAGCUUAUUUUCAUUGAGCACCACCUUGCCAUCAGAUGAUUUUCAUGAAUCACUUAUCAGCAUCUUUGACUACAAGAAUUAGUACCUUUUAAUAGAUCAGCAGAAAGCCGCAAGAUUUUUCCAAACUUUAUCAACCACGCUGCAUAUCACAUGAUAUUAUUCCCAUUCAAUUGUUGAUGGAGGCUUGGAAGUAAUAUCUUGAACAACUCGAUUUACACCACAUACACUAUUGCAUAUCUUUCUUGCAACAACAUCAAGGAAAUUGUGUUCAAAAUUGUACCAGUCAGCAGUCAUCCCAUCUUGAUUUGUGACAGCUCUCAAUGCAACAACAUGAGAAUGUGUUCUUUGAUCACCUUGAACUCCAACAGACCUUAUGGGCAAGAAAACAGCAAAAGCUUGCUAUAUUUUAAAAAAAACAACCAAACCAAAUCAAACCAACCUUUACUAAUGAUUCUAAGAAAAACCCACUUCAAUUUUGCCAAGAAACAAAUUGCAAAACAAAUGAUACAGGAAAAGAAACAUCCAACUUCAUAAAACUAAACAAAAAAGCCAUAGAAAACAACAGAAAACGUAAAUGGAGUUUGAAAGUGAUAUUCUUAGAGGGGUUCAAAUGCAACUAAAUAGGGACUUAACUGAAUGAAUUAUGGAUGUUUUAGGGUCGAAUUAAGUUCAGGAACUCUGGGGCUAAAUUACAAAAAAGAAAAUGGAAUGACCGGAAUUGCAAAUUUAAGCAAACGAUCGUCUUCCCCAAGCAGAUUAGGCAUCAAUCUUCUAUUUAGACCUUCACUCGGGCAUUUUAACAAACAGUACAUGGGCAUAGAAGGAUCCAGCAAUUUUUGCUCAAUUGGGACUGUAAUUAGCCCCCCAAAAUUUGUCAAAACACAAGAGAUUUCAGUCCAAACAACAUACAAUAGCAUACAAUCUAAAAUCGUUAGCAAUCAACAUGAAGUUGGCACUGAACAAACGCACGGCAAACAUGCUUUGAGACUUUUCAAUGUUCAUACUAAAAAUGGAAAACUAAAAUUCAAAGAAGGCAGACCGCUUAUAGCGUUUGCUUGGCGAAGUCUGCAGGCGAUGGUGAUGGUCGAAGGAAGGUGCGAAUGAUCAGGCGGCUAUAGCUGCCAUGGUAGCCACGCUGGAGCUGGGCGCCAGUGGUGGGUGGCAACAUGAAAUCGAGGAGCGACAGUGAGAGAGAAAGGUCGUGCGGGAAGGGGAGAUGCGUCAGGCAGCUAGGCGGCGCACGAAAUGGAGGUGCCGUGGCGGAACUUGGAGGCGUCGGAAAUUGGAUGAGAGCAGAGUGACGGCAGCUAUGGAGAUUGCGCUCUGUGAUGGCCGAUGAGCGGCUGUUGCUCUGUAUUUUCUUUGUGUCCCCUCUAGGCCAAGACCUUUCUCUGUUUCUGGUUUCACUUCCUCAAUCACCAGCCCCCAAAUGAAACUUUAGUCUUUUCCUUCGUUCCCCUGCCGACGACCCCUUUUCUUCCUUGACAGCUAAAAGAUUUUGGGCAGAAAUUUGCAAAAAAUAUUGUAGAAUAUUAGGGAUUUGGAAAAAUUGGGGAAAAUGUAUAGGAGAGAGAAAAAUGAACCUUUCCAAUGAAAACCUUGCCCUUUAAUGCUGGACAGCCAUGGUGAUGCUAGUGAGAAGCCAGAGAACGGAUUUGUUGUGUGGGUGAAGGUAUCAGGUGCCGUGUGGAAGCUCUGUUUUGUGCUCAGUGCAGAAGCUUGUUUGUUUCAGCUCGGUGAAAGUUUGUGUUGCUCAAGUGUUCCGUUGCUUUAACUCAGACCAAGUGUUCCGUUGCUUUUCUUUUCAGAAUGUGUUCCGCUGCUUUGGUCUUUGCUUUGCUUUGGAUAUUGUUUUUGUUGCGCGGCACUUUCACUAUGAUUUGAUCAAAAUUUUGACUUCACUCAUUUUCCCUCCAUUUGAUACCAAAAUUCAUGUUUUUUUCUGGAUUUGUAAUAUGGUUUGAACCAUAGAUUUUAAUGCUAUAGUAUUAUUCUUUAUUUUUUAGCAAAAAAUAAAAAUUUUCAUCAACAUAGGUGGCAAAAUUUGUUAAUUUCAUAUAAUUGAAAAUGUACUUUUAUAAUUUGCUAAUAUUUUAUACUAAUUUCUUAUAAUUGCAGCACUAAAGAACAUCAUGUAAUUCAAAAUAAUUAAACUCAAAUUAUAUCGUUAUAACAUAGUUUCAAUAAAAAUAAUCAUUUUCCCAACAUUUGAGACCAAUCAUCAUGCUUUUUUUAUUUUUAAUUUGGUUUGAAGCAUAGAUUUUAUUGCUAUAGUAUUAUUCUUUAUUUUUUAGUACAAAAACACAAAUUUUCAUCAAUAUAGGUGGCAAAAUUUGUUAAUUACAUAUAAGUGAAAAUAUACUUUUAUAAUUUGCAAAUAUUUUAGCCCUGCAAUUUUUUAUAAUUGCAGCACUAAAGUACAUCAUUAAUUGAAAAUAACGAAAGUCAAAUUCUAUGGUUAUAACAGACUUUCAUUAAAAAUAAUCAAAUGCUAUUAAUAAGACAUUAUUGUUAAGUCAAAAUCAAAGAAAAUUUAGUGAUGACAUAAUGUUAUCACUAAUUUAUUCAAGAUUAUAAUGACAAGAAAAGUCGUCACUAAUUAAAUUGCUAGUUUUUAAUAUUGUCAAUUGCUAGUUUUUAAUACUUUUGUGAAAAUACUGAUAAUGGUUGAGAAAAUUUUGUUACAUUACUGCAAGUGAUAAAUGUACUUUUGUUCUUUUUCAAACAUUUAUUUUAAUGUUUAAUUUUGUUUAAAACUAUUGUACUAGUAUAGAUUUGCAAAACAAAACUUAAGUUCUCAAUAGUUAAAAAAUUCAUUACAGAGAAAACACAAAGUAGUAGUUGCAAAAUGUGUAUAAAUUACAGAUAUUUUAAUGUGUAUAAAUUACAGUUUAUUUUAAUAUUUAAUUUUGUUUGAAACUAUUUUACUAGUAUAGAUUUGCAAGACAUAGAUUUAUGGGUAAUUUUUUUUUUUUGCUUUCACAUAUUUAAUUUAUGUUAAAUACAAAACCUACCAGUUUCCCUUUCAUAAAAAUAUUAGUGCAACACUUUUUGAAUUUUACUUACAAACAUUUAUGUAUUUAACGUAAAUUAAAUGAUUCAGAGUGAAAUGCCCAUAAAGAGCAGAAUAUUUAUUCAUGUAAUGGAGGAAACCCACAAGGAGUUGGUACUUUAUGGGCCAUUUCUUUUUUUAAAAAAAUUUAAUUUAUGUUGAAAAGAUAACCUGCCAGUUUUCGUUUUGUAAGAAAUCAGUGUAAUACUUUUUGAAUUUUACUUACAAACAUUUAUAAAUUUAUCAUAAAUUAUAUGUUUGAGAGUAAAAUGCCCGUAAAAAGUUGGUACUUUAAAUAGAUAAUGCUCAUUUGCCCAUAAACUACACUCCCUAAAGGCUAUUUUGUUAAUUAUUUUGUAGUACUUUGUUAUUCCUUUGCUAAUACUACUUGGCAUGUAGUACAAAGGAUAAAUCUGGCAUAAAUUUCUUAUUCCAUUGAUAAAAAGACCUGCCUGCCUUAUAACUAUUGUAAUGAAAGAUAUAUCUUUAGAGUUUAUAACAAAUUAUUACUUAAGUUUGAGAAAAUUAUAAAAUAUUUAUGCAUAGUUUAUCAAGAUACCAUUCGCAAUUUCCUAAUAAAAAAAUAGGGGCUAAAUUGUAAAAGCUAGGGUGCCAUAAUAGAAAUAAUAAAAUUGGUGUAUUACAUAUGGGGGUUAAAUUGCAAAAGUUAGAGUGCCAUAGUAGAAUUAAUAAAAUUGAAUUAAUAAAAUUGGUGAAUUACAUAUGGGGCUAAAUUACAAAAAUUAGGGAGUAAUAAUAGAAUUAAAGAAAUCGGUGCACUACAUAUGGGGCUAAAUUGUAAAAGUUAAGGUAUCAUAAUCGAAUUAAUGGAAUUUUUUACAACAUUUGGGGCUAAAUCGCAAAAGUUAGGGUGGCACAGUAGAAUUACAGAAAGUGACUUAGAAAUAAGUACUUUAAACAGUGACGAUUAAUUCUUGUCACUAAAUCCAAAUCGGUAGAGUGACAGUGACGAUAUUAGAAGUUGUCACUAUAUAGAUCAUUUUAGUGACAACUUUUUCAAGGUCGUCACUGAACACUUAGUUGCUUUGAGCAAUUAUGACAACUUUCCUUGUCGUCACUAAACAAUCACGUUUUGUGACGAAUUUUGUCGUCACUAAAAAAUGUUGUCACUAAUGACCAUAUUUCUUGCAGUGUAGUUUGUGACGAAAAUAACGGGUCGUCACUAAACAUUUAGUUGCUUUGAUGCAAUUAUGACAACUUUAGGUGUCGCGACUAAAGAAGCUCCUUUUGUGACGACUUAUUGUCAUCACUAAAAAAUGUUGUCACUAAUAAAUUUUUUUUUUAGUGAUCAGUGACGACAACAAAAAGUCGUCCGUAAAUAGGCCAAGCAAUAGUGAUGAUGUUCUUAAUGUCGUCACUAUUGUGUGUUCUAAACACUCCCGCGCUCUUGCUAAAACUUGGCGGGAAUUUACUAAGUCGUCACAAAUGGGUUGGCUCCCAUUAGAGGUUUGUGACGAGUUAGAAAUUCGUUAAUAAAUGAUCCACUUUUGUGACAACUUUUUUUCGUCACAGAGAAAAGUUGUCACUGAUGACCAAUUUUCUUGUAGUGACUACAAGAUCUCCACGGCAUUCAAGUGACUUAGAUGGGAGACUAUACUAAAUUUGCCGAAGCAUUACUAUCCCAAUCUGGUCCGGGAGUUCUACGCCAAUGUGGAAGACAAAUAGAGCCACAGUGGCAACCUUAUCAUCUCCUGGGUUCGAGGCAAGAGAGUGGCUCUCACUCGACAUACAAUCACCCAAAUCGUCAAACUAAAGGACAAUGGAGAAGAUGUUAAAUUGACUAAGGAAUUUAAGGCACGUGAUCCAUGGCAAGUCGGAGAAACUGUGGCACGUCUUAAGGGUCAAUAUCGGGAGUGAGGAAGUUCGAAGAAGCUCAUUGUAUACGCCGAUUCCUUUGAGCAUAGGUACCACCUGAUCUUCUAUCUCUUCGCCUUCAAUGUGGUACCAAAAAGGAGUGGAAAAAGGGAGCUCCGAAACGGUGACUUGUAUUUCCUCGAUAAUAUGAUGCAUGGUGUAGGUAGGCUGCUGACUGGUAUUCCUCUGGCCAGCAUCAUCAUCAGUUACAUGCGUACUACAGCUUGCAUGAGAGCCGACGAAACUUGCUUUGGGUUCCCUCGUUUGCUCUCCCUUAUUUUUAAGCAACUCAAGGUUCCUCUGGGAACCGAGUGAGCCAUUGUUACUAGGGCAGCCGAGGAAGUCAACGGCUCAGUACUUAGGUCCUUAGGUAUUCCUACGGAUUUUGGAGCUUCUCUGGUACAGGAUGUUGGAGAAGCAUCGACUUCAGCUUAGCCUCCAGCUCACACUGAACCACACCAGGAAGCUCAAGAGAUGGAGGCAUAGCAGACUCUCCCUCCUCCCAUUCCACGACCACCCCCUCCGCAAUGAUCCAAGUGGCAAGAGGCCCUCAAUGCCAUAUGCUGUAUGGAGACACGAGUCAUCAAGCGCAUUGAUCAGACGGAGCGGCUGAUGACGGAGCGACUAGACAGGCAUGAUCGCCAUCUUCGAGCGAUCGAGGAUCAUUUCCACAUUCGCCGCUCCCCUACACCGAUUCCUAAGCCAAGGCCCGAUGAGGGCAUGCAGAUCGUGAGGAGGGUGGCAGCAAUGCAGAUCAUGAGUUGGGCGGCAGCACUGAAGCGACUGAGCUUGGCGUCUCCUCUGCAUAAUUUACUUUCUUUUCAGCUUUUAUUUAGUUUUUCAUCUUUUAUUUUCGAUUUGGUGUUAACUUUUUGUUAUUUUUCUAUUUUUCUUAAAACUUGUGGAAUGGUCUCACUCUCUAUGGAUAUAUAUUUUUCCCUUCAUACAGAAUUUGGCUAGUAGAAUUUGGAUGAUCGUGAUGAUCGUGGUUUCAAAUUGCAUCACUACUUCUUUUGAGAGGAGUAUUAGUUUCUUUUACCUUCCUCUACAAUGAGGACAUUGUGAAUUUUAAGUGUGGGGGAGGGAUUACUUUAUCUUAUGGGGUGAUUGUGUUUUGAAGUGCAUGAUUUUAGUUAUUUAUGGCCUAGAAAUGUUGGAAUCAUAUUUGGAAAUAUUGUCAUGAAGAUAAUUUUCUUGAAAUUGAGGCUGUUGGCAGGGAGUUUUAUCCAUAUAUAUGGGGAAACUCUGUCAAAAUUUUUCUAAAAUAUUUUCCAAUAUUUCAUUGCAAUUCUUUCCAAUAAUGGCCGAAAUGUUCAAUUUUAAAUGUCUAAUUCUUCCAUUGGAUAAAAUGUUAUAUAUAUUUUGGAAAGUUUAGUCCUUAUUUGACUUGGCAUUAGUCAUUAUGCAAUUAGGAUUUUACAUUUUAGAAAGUAUAUUCGGUUAAAUAAGGAAAAUUAUGCUUAGAAUUUUGCAGGUUUAAUGAUAUUUCUCAUUUUUACUUAAUUUUAUAAGUAAGUGAUUGAUAUAGUCAAAACAAGGCCAGAUUCAUCCUUUAAUUAUGCUCAGAGGGAAAUUGAUUAUUAAAAAAAAAAAUUCUACUCCAAUGAUUCGCAUACUGAGUAACCGGGGGUUAGCAUUUACAAAUGUCGACAUUCGCGUAAAAAGGUAUUGGAAUUAAAAGUAUGCCUAGCAAUUUAAAUGAGUGAAAUGUUGAGUAACCGGGAAUCUUCACCUAAAAGUGUAGAUUUUCACGUAAAAAGGCAUUGUCACUAUUUAAGUAAAAUGAAGUAUAAAAAAUCCCUCUCAGUUAUGAAAAUUUUGAUGGAUAUAUGAUGAGAAAUGCCAUAGAAUUGACUAUGUGAUUUACUUAUUUGUGAAAUUAGGAUAGGAUGAGAGAUUGAGUUGAAAUUGUUAAAAUUAAGGUAUAAUUAUCUUUAUUUAACUUGAUAUUAUGAGUAUUUAGUGUAAUCUGAGAAUUGGUAUAAUGAUUGGUUUCUAGGUUUUGAGGAACUAAAAUUGACAAAAGUACGUAUAUUAUUUUAUCUCUUGAAUCAUUGUAGUAAGUUAUGUGUAAAAUUGCUUGAGGACAAGCAACGAUUCAAGUGUGGGGGAAUUUGAAAGAGAAUAUUUAACGUACAUUUUGUACAAGUUUGGCAUGAACUUUUGGUAUGUUUUGAGAAGAUUAAAACCAUAUUUGCACUCUUUUGGUGAUAAAUAUUUAAAUAUUGUUUAAGUGUUCAAAACUUGAUAAAUGAGUGGAUUAAUACGUUAAUUUUGUGAAAUUGUGAAGGAUAUUGAUAUAUGAAAUUCAUGCACGAGAUGAAGGAAAUGUAAGGAUCGUCCAGAGGAUAAAGUACAAAAGAAACUAGGAGCAAAAGUGAAGAAAAAGGAAAGAAGUGAAAAACUGGAAAUUGAUUAGCACGGAUCCGAGUUUGGAUCCGUGUGAACAAAGGGCGAUUCGAGCCCUCGUCUGUACUUCUGGAGCAGUGCAUCCAAGGCCAGACGAUCCAAGCUCGGAUCAUUAAGAGAAAGGCCUCGGAUCAGUCUUGAUCCGAGCUCGGAUCGUAGUGCACACCUCGGAUCCAAGGCUCGGAUCUACCUCUCUCUUCUGCAAGUGGCACAGCCAUUUUUUCUCAUUUUUCACACAACUUUUCAGCUAUCUUGGGUGAGAGAAUUCGGUGGCACAUGUUUCUGCAACAAAAAGGAAGACAAAAUGAGUUAUUGACAAGUCAAAACAACAUUUCUUUUGACUUUCUUUACAAAAUCUGAGUUGUUGGAAUCAUGAAGGAGAAGAAAGUGCCUUUCUACCACCUUUUAUGCAGAGAACCAAGAAGUCAGGCAUCACCAUAUGGAAGGAGUUUUUCAUCUUGUAACAUUUUUCUCUCUAGCUAGAAGUUCUAAAAACAAGCACUUGGAGAUUUCACUUGUAAUUAUCUUGUACAAGACAUAGCAGAAAUUUGAGGGUUUCAUCAUUAAUUGGCUACGCUUUUCUUUAUCUUUCUUGUACUUGUACUUUAUGAUGUUUUGCAUUAAUAAACUUGUGAGUUUGAUUGUUAUAUCAUUCAUGAGUAGCUAAAUUUCUUUAUCUAGAGAGUAGAUGAAACUUAUGGCUAAAUGAUAUGAAUUGAAUGUGAUUUAAACUUGUUAUAUCUUGUAUUAACUUGUCUAUUUGUGCAGUUGUAAUUACUUGUUGUUGUUUGAUCACCAAUAGCAUGUUUAUAGUUGUUAUUAAUCAAUGAGAAUUGGUAGUAACAAUGGAAAAAACAUGAGUAGAGCUUGAGUUGUAUGUUCAUGAAAAUAGAUGUACACUUAAGUGGAUUAGCUAGCAUUUCAUGAAGGAAAACAGAGUAGAACUAGUAUUUCACCAUGAAAAUAGGGAAAACUGGAUUGCUCUAGGCCAUUUUAUCAUGAGAAUGAGAUUUGGUAAUAUUGGAAAUGAAUCCCUGGUUAAACAACAAUAAUAACAAGAGAAAUUUAUUCAUUUGUGUUGUUUAUGCCAUAAGUGGAAUCUACAUCCCUAAAUUUAUUCUUGAGUGAAAUUUAUCCAUUUGCAUUUAGCAUUUGUUAAACUAGAUUUAUAGACAAUAGCAUUAUAAUUUCUCUACUCAAAUUCAUUUAUAAGUCUAAAUAAUAGAGAAAAUAAGGGUUUAGUACUUGUUUAAAUUGCUCCUCGUGGGAUCGACUCGAUAUAUACCUUACAUUAUGAUUUCGGCCUGUAUACUUGCAGGCAACGGGUAUAAAAUCGGAUUUAAACUUACAUUGAUAUAAAAAUCCCGUCACAUAUGUGAGAUCAAAUUAUUUUACUUAUUUCUUUUAUUCAUUGGUAUUUGUACAUUUUCUGAUUUAACUUCAUAUACUUGUUAUGUUAUUUGAAUGUCAAGGGCCCGAUAUUCGAAUUAACCUAAUAAUCUACUGUUAGAUUAAUUGAUUGAAUCCCUAAUUGUUCAAUUGAUUAAUACCAGUGGCAACUAGCGUGAUUGGUUUCAUGUUAGGGAAACGUAUGAUCUAACUUAAACGAACCCUCGUAGCGUGUUUGUUAAUUAAGGUUGGCUUUUCUAAUUCUUAUUGCAAUUGAGAAAUUAAAUCCUAUAGUCGUACCUAGGGUUAUUUUUUGGUUAGGAAAAUAGUUAAUGGUCGUACCUUGACUAUCGAAAAAGUAAGAAAAAGUUGGUUGUUUAUCGCGUGUAUAACAACUAUAACCAAUCUAUUAAUUAGUAAUUGAAUUAUCUUUGCAUCGAUGAUCAGUUGAAAGGACCAUGUCUGAAAAGUUGCACCUUUGGCUAGAGUUGUAUUGGUUAUUGAUUAAUUCCUGUUGAUUUCUAUUAGUUGUUUCAUUAGUUGAUUAAUUAGUUAUUUUAUAUUUUUCAAAAACCCCCCAUACUUCGGACUCUGGAAGAAAUGAAUUAUCCCCAGUCCCUGUGGAUUCGACCCUACUCACCGCUAUAUACAAAUUUGUAUUUUUCUUGAGUAGGUAAUUAUUAUUGCACAUGUUCAACACCUGUCAUUCUAUAACUGUAUACAGAGUCAUCUUUUUCAAAGAUUUCCCAUGCUGCAAAAUGUACUCUACGAGCUUUAUUUCAUCUUCCUCCCCUAUAAAUUGUCUGAUUCCAAUAUGCCUAAGAUGUUCAACAAAGCGUAAUGGGAAAACUAUUUGGAAAUGUAGAUUCCAGGUCCUUGUAUAUGCAAAGUCCUUCUUACACAACUUUACAUAUUGAGAAGAUCAAAAAUUGCAAAACAUAAUAAUACUUGAAAUUAGUGAGAAUAUAUCCAAAAGAAACAAAAUAUUAAUACCUGAAAUCAGGUUUUACAAUCUGUGCACAAAAAGCACCUAAACCCAAAUGGCCCAUGUUGGAAUAGACCAAGUUUAGUUCAACUGCAGAAAUUCCUAGUACAAUGGAACUGCAACUUCAACUUCAGUAAAUUGCAAGCUGAUAUUAUGAUUCUAUAAAUCCUAAAAUCUCCCCCAAGUCCUCUUGCCUCCAGCACAAAGUAUGUACAUAGAUGCUGACCUGUUCUAUACACUUGUAGGUAAAUUCAAAUCAGACGGCAUUCAAUAGAACUGCCUUGAUUUGGCUGCAUAUUAGCACUACUGCUCUUUAAAUCUAACUUGAUUAAGCUGCACAAAAAGGGAAGAUUACAUUCGAUGGAGAAAUUUUACUGAUUGCAGAUGAAAUAGGGGCUAAAAUCAACUAGGAAAAGCAGAGAAGUUAACCUCAACCGACGAGGAAACAAGAUGCAAAAGUCAGAAGUUGUUAGCUUAAACCUCAACCGAAAGAAAAAUGCAAUCUUUGAUAUUAAACACAUAACCCACAUAAGUUAGCUUCACAGAGUCCAGAAGGAUGGUUGGAACUCAAUUUUCCUAAAAUUGUGAGGAAAAUAAUGCAAUCUUAGAAAUCUAACACAAAUAAUGGUAAUAAAAACACACAAGAAGGGUAUGAAAACUUACAAAAUGGCGCCAAAAUAUAGAUCUAACAAUAUUUGAAGCAAAUGGAUGAAGCAUUGAAGUUGUUCUAAGAUUUUUGGGCAGCAAUAAAACCUAAGCUCCUUCACGUUUAGCAAUUCUUAGGAGAUAGACAGGAGGCGGGUCUUCUUUUUUAGCAAUUCCUCAGAGGUCUCCUUCCCGUUUAGCAAUUCCCGCAUAUGUUCUUCUAUUUUUGGACUAAAAACCACCGAUGUUGGCCUUUGAGAGAAGAACAGAUGCGUGCUUCUCAAUUGACAGAGACAAGAGAGGACCAACCUUUCUAUGUAUAUAUCCCUCAGCCUCUAACAAGCCUUUGAAUUUUGAUGGAAGGACGUUGCGGGAAAAAUAAAAUUCUUGGAGGGAAUAAAACGCGCGUCCUAAAUUCUGAUUUAAGUUUUGUUGUUAAAAGUUUCUAAGAAUUGAAGUAUAUUAUAAUAUAUAUAGAAUAAAUAUUGAGUAUUAGAAGUAUAUAAUUUGAAAGAAAUCAUGUGAGGACUCGAAAAUUUUUAUUAUUUUAAAAUCCCUAAUUUUGGCUCAAUUAAUUAAUUAUUUGGAUUUUUAUCACGAAUAAUAUUUUCUAGCCUUAUUAGACCGAAGUACAUGGUUUUAUAGAUUCGUUAUAUUUUUAAAGCACCUCAUUUCAAAAAAUUAUUAUUUUUUUUAAAAAGCUUGUUUAGCGGAAAAGUGAAAACGUGUCUAAACACUUUAGCCAAUUGGGAGUACAAUAAGCUCAAAAUUUGAGACCUAUACAAUGGUCCUAAAAUAGACAAUUUUAGGUUUAAUUAUACAAGUGAUAGCUAGUGGUACAAUCGUUAUAAGAAUUUUUCAAAGGUUUCAAUUUUUAUUGCGCCUAAAUUAGAAAUACGUGUUUGCACGUGCGCGCUUAAUUGAGGGACUUUGGACCAUUAUUUUGGGACAAUUAAGAAUGGAUAAUAUUUAUAUAAAUGUAAGUACCCUAGAGGUUUAGUGCACUAGUGCAACAAACGUAAGAGAAAUCGAACACAAAACGCGCGCGUAGGGUACUAGUUAUAAUUGAUUUGACGUAUUAAAAGAUUUGACGUCAAGCGUCUUUCGUACGCAAAGGCUUCAGAACCGCAGCUUCAUUUCAAUCUCAUUUCAUUUCUGCAAAGCUUCAUGGACGGCUAGACAGCAAGAGACAACCGAGGCUUCACCAUUUCUUUCUUCCAAAACUCAUCCAAAUCCUUACCAAAACUUCCAUAGAUUCUUACCAAUCUCCACAUUCAUUUAGCUUUUCACUUGGACGGCAACUUAGCUGCAAAAGGAAGGAGCUAUCCACGGUUUCUUCAAGCUUCAAAGGGGCCGAAAAAUCUGUCCAAACCAGUCAUCAAAGUAGGUACUAAUCAAGCACCUUGAACUUGUCUUAUGGAAGUUGAUCUAUGCAUUUGAGUUGGAAUCUUCACUAUAGUAGCUUGUAUUGUUGGAAACGUGGGCUCUAUGAACUCCCACUUUGGGUUGAUGGCUGUGAUGAUGUUUGAUGAUGGUUUUAUUGCUGAAUUAGAGCUUAAGGAAGUAGAUUAAAGGUGUAUUGUGGACAGAAACGUUGUUGAACUCUUGAAGUAAAAAGUUCCCAUUUUACCCCUGUUCUGUUCGGUCAUUUUAAUGCAGAAACUGAGGAUUUAAUGGCCUGAUUAUGUUGAUUACAUGUUGCAAAAGUUGUGUACAAAAUUUCGUUGGAAAAUAUUGAGUUGUGGUUGAUCAAACGAAUUUAUUUCAAAAACUAGUAAUCUGGAAAACGGUUUCGCCGUAAUCCAGACCAGUGUUUGUAUUUCGUCCAUAACUCCGUACUCCGACUUCGAAAUCAAGUGCCGUUAGCGGCAUUUGAAACUAGACGUUCCCAUGUUUCCAACGGUGUAUAAUGGACCUUCUGGUUUCGUGUGUGUGAGCCACACCAUUCAUCUGAAGUCGACUGUCCUGUUUCUCCGUUCUGCCGAAAUGAUUUGAUGAUGCUGCAACUUUAGGCUUGAUUUUGAACCAGUUGCAUGCUGAAACUUAAAACGAUUUCUUCUGUGAAGUUGUAGCCCUAUGAAUCUAUUUUCUAACACUAUCAACCAUUUCCAAUUCCGAGUUAAAUUGAGGGAGUUAUGAUCAAUACACGGCAACUGCCUCGUUUUUGAAAACCUUAGUUUUGGACCGGCUCAAUCCUGGUAAUCUAGAACAGCAACUUUAGGCUCAUUUUUGAAUACCAUCCACUUAGAUUCAUGGAAUGAUGUCUUCUAAGGACUUUUAGUACUUUUGAAGACGAUUCCAACGGUACCAAAUUCAUCAAGUUUCGAUUAGUAGAAAGAAAGUUAUGAUUUUUCAAAGAUUUGACCAAAAAUCAAAAAUUCUGGAAUUCCAGAGGAAAUCCGCGAAGGAACAAUUUUACCAGAAUCCGGCCUUGAAUCCGGCCAGUUUCUGGACGGAUUGUCGGCCGGAUUGGUGGUCAAAUUUGAAAAAAAGGGAGGUUACCCACGGCCAGAAAUCCGGCCGGAUAUCCGGCCGGAUUGUGACGUGGCCAACCCUCCUUCGAUUUCGAUCGUUCGUUUUGCAAUCCUUUCGCUCGUACUCAAUUCCAACCAAUGAUUUUAAGGAUAAUAAUCCGAUUUUCACUUAAGUCCUACACCCUUUUGAGAAUCCAACUUAAUAAACAAGUCAAACGAAGUUUUCAAAUAUUUCCGAACCUUACCCGUGCCCAAUCUUUCUCACCACUUGGGGACCUAUAAUAAUUGUCUACUAUUCGAUGUUCAGGCACGCACGAGGACCUCCAAGAGGAUCCUACCGUGGAAGUUUGAACUCUCCCUCCAACCUACUUACUUGCAUAACUGGUGAGUGUCAAGUGUAUGCCUACUUGAACUCUAAAGUCUUGAUUCAUGAUUGACUUACCUGAUUAUAUGCUCGGUCUAUUGGAUUUUGAAAAAUGGAGUCGAGUGUGUACUUAAUCGCACUCGUUCUCAUUUGGAACAAAUGACUCAUGUUUGACAUGCUUUGCAUGGUUUAUAUGACCUGAAAUACAUGUUUGAACCUGUCAAAUGCUUGAAUUUAUGAAAUGGUAUGCUAUGAUUGCAUACGUCGAUGGAGUGAAUCUCCUCGACAUUUACAUGAUACACGGGGGACGCCCAAACUCAUAGGCCGACCUUGGAACUCGAGCCGGCAUGGGCCUGGUCGGGAACCUUGGUGAGCCAUGAGAAUUACAUGAUAAGCUUGAUCUAUUUGAGAGAUCUCGCUUGGCAUACUCGUGAAGUAUCGCCUUAUAAGUGUCGUGCGGGCCCGAAGUGGUGUAUGGUGGACGGAUGAGAAGUAAGUGGUGAACUACGGAUAUGAAAAUAUCAACCUGGUUGACGGAGAGUCAUCACGGGGAGAUAUACAAAUGACAUCGGCAAAUGUGGAACUUAACUCCUGAGAGCUUCCAUAUCCUUGAAUUGUUUCUGGUUACAUUUUGUCGGCGUUAUUACUUACUUGCAAGUGAUUACCUGAAUUGUUAUUUGGGGCUUGUUAUUUGAAUUAUGUGUCUGCAUGUGUGUUCUUGGCCUCACGAGCGUUUUUGCUCACCCUGUAGAUUUGUUUUCCUUAACAGGUUUGAACUCGGAGGUAAAAUGGAGAAGCCCUCUGAUGUACUUUUGUUUAGGGCUUGUUAUUACUUUUGGUUAUGCCUUUGGUUUUGAAAUUUUACUUUUGGUAUGGAAAUGUAACCCUUGGACGAAAUGAAAUCUGUAUUCUGACGUGUGGUUUGGUGAAUGGAUGACUAUUAUUAGGUUUGAAUACUUCCGCAUUUAUUGUAUUUAAGUUAUUGGCUUUUGUUGUGUGGUCCGGCUAUAACUUGAAUGGAAUUGCUUGAGUCCUGGCGAGAGUUAGGCAGGCGUUCCGCGGAUACCCUUUGGUUCGCCUUAGGGAGAAGUGGGGGCGUCACAAAUCAUGUAUGAGAAAAUGAAACUAAUGAAAAUAUUCAUGUGCAAUCAAUAUAAUAAAUUGUCAUCUUUAUAAUUUUUAAGUUUGCAAUUCAUAAAUAUGGUAACAAAUAAUGUAAUUCAUGUGCAAUCAAUAUAAUUAUAUUGUUAAUUAAGGUUAUAAUUGUGCUAUAUAAAGUAUUUGGGACAAUUUGAAAAAUAUCGAGAAAUUUGGGACUACUUAUAAUAUAUUCAAAAUGUAUUUUGAUUAAACUAUACAACUUGUCCUUUCUUGUUGUAAAUCCAAGUUCAAUUAUGGAACAAUAUACAUGGAAAAGUUGACCUUAUAUGUGUAUAAAUCAUCUUAUUAAUAAAAUAAUUAAACACAAUACAUUUAGUUAACUAUGAUUUAGUGAUUGAUUAUUACAUCAUUUUUUAUAUAAUACGAUAAUUAAAUAUUACAUAUAUAAUAAAAUGUUUCAAAUAUAUUUUAAUUGAUCAAAAAAAUGGUAUACUUACAAUAAACAAAUAAUUAAAGAAAAUUUUGAGAGUAGAAUUUUGUGCUAAAAACGUGUAUUUUGGGUUCAAAUUUAUAACCCACCACUUAUCCACUUAGAAUUAGCAAAAGUAUUAAUUCAUUUCUAAAUACUCUAAACCAUACUAAUUUAUUAUAAUAAAGACACAAAACACUAGCUCCAUGUGAUAACCUAUAGCAAAAAUCAUCUAUUCACUUUAGUAAAAUAUAUGAGUCAAAUUUAAAGAUUCAUCAAAUUUUCUAGGUUUUAAAAUUGGGGUGCGUUAUUUACAUGGAUUUAAAGCUGUCUGAAUAUAGUUUACUACGCAAUAAACGGCACUCAAUUUCGAGUUUUCUACACAAAGAUAUGGCCAAAAUACUAAAAUUAUUACUUAAUUUUUUGAAAAAUAGUAGGAUCGUAGGAUCAUAUGAUCCGGAUCACGAUCAUAUUGAUCUUGUUAAUUUAAUGCUAAUUUUUUAUCCUACUUACAAUUUGGAUCGUUAACCAUGAUCCGUAUCGUAGGAUCGUAGAUCGCGAUUCUAGCAACUAUGGUUGUAGCUAAAAGUUUCUAAGAAUUGGAGUAUAUUAUAUAAUAUAUAGAAUGAAUAUUGAGUAUUAGAAGUAUAUAAUUUGAAAGAAAUCAUGUAUGUGAAAAAUGCAACUAAUGAAAAUAUUCUCAAUAUACAGCUGAAAAAAUAACUAAGUUUGAUAAAUUUGCAUUUAAUUUUUAGAUAGAAGUUUGUUGUAUGAUAUGUAAUUGCCAUUUCUUGAAAUUAUUCUUCACUCUUAUACCUUCACUAAACUUCAAAGAACUUAGCUACACAUAAAAUAGAAUGAAAGGAAUGCUUUCAAGUGUGCUAGUAAGUAAAUAUUUAUACUAUAUCUGUGCUAAUACGUGUCCAUAUGUAUAAUUCAAAAGUUUUAUGUAUUUCAUAUACGAAUAUCUUUUUUCAAGUAACUGCAUAGAACACUUGAUAGGUUGUAUUUUUGCCAUUAAUUUUAUGAUUAUUUCCCUCUUUAUUUUACCAAAUAUUGUAUUAAUUGAUAGAUUCUACUUAUAUUUGGUGCUUUAUGUUAAUUAUAGGACGUUGGGGUAAAAAGUGCUAAAAAAGGGUGAUUUUCUUGGAAUUGAUUGUCACUCGCAAGUUUCCCAAUUCAAGAUGAAGUCUACGUGGAUUAUUUGUGGAAGAUUAGGAAAUUACCAUUUUUCUUAGAUAUUUUAUUUAGAAAACAAUUGGCAUUAUUCUUGGAGUUACCUUUUUCAAUUGACCCGCUUCCGAAGUUACUUCCUUCGUUAGAGCUCGUUUAUCGUUGAUUUAAAUUUAAUCUGUUUUAGUUUAAUUAUUUUCAAUUUGCAUUGAUUAUUUAUUUUUAAUUGCAAUUUUCCAAACUCCCCCCCCAAUUAAUUGUCACUUGGAAAGAAGCAAAUUUUCACUCAAAACCUUGAGUUUAUAUCUUUUUGAGUAGGAAUUUAUUAUUACACAAGUCUGACACCUGUCAAUUAACACAAGGUUUCAAGCAAUGCACAGUUUCUUUUGUACCUAGAAUAGCUAAUGUAGCAAGUCAUAUGCUAGCACAUUUUGCAACAUAACUAGUUUAUGAUAUAGAAUGGGUACAUGAUUUCCCGAUUUGACUAAUAGAAGGGUGAAUGCCCCUUUUUGUAAUUAACUCUUGCACUUCAAGUGUUAACAUAUAUACUGAUUGUUGAAAAAAAAAGGAAAGUGUUUAUUUGUUUAAUCAAAUAGUUAUGGUAGUGUUUAUAUAAUUUCGUAAACAUUGAAAGGUAAAUGACCUCGUUGAAUUUGUAUAAUUUGAUUAUGUUGAAGAAACAUAUAAUCUUGGAAAAGCAGAGAAAUUUUCUAGUAAAUAUUAGAUAAACAAACAAGUCAUUAUUUUAUUUUGAUAGCUAAUCAUUGUUCAUAUCAAUAUACUAGCUAUAAAGUUAUACUCGCAAUACUACUAUUACGGUAUAAAAUUUCUUGUCAGAGCAAUUUAUAAUUUCAUCCCAUUUUUACCGUUGACUGUUAACCUCAAGUUCUUCGGAUAUCCAUGGGACAGUGUAACCCCUUUGAAGGUCAAUUCUUAUUGUUGAUGUGGCGUGUCCCACAUCGGAGGCUGCAUAAGGAAGUUUUCUUCCUUUUGUCCCACAUCGGCAAUCAAGAAGGAAAGCCUCCCCUUGUUUACCUAUAAAUAAGGGGGCUUAGUGGUGAAGAAAAGUGCACCACUCAAGAGAGUUAUAUGAGCUAUUAGCUUUUUGAGUCAUUUAUCCCAUUUGUAGUCAAAUGUUUUAUGUUCUCUUGUUUUGAGUUUAGGAAUAUUUUCUAAACUUUUUAUGAGUGCCUUUUGGCCUAGGAACCACUUUUCUACGGCUUUUGUAUAUCUUCUUCAUAGUGAAAGAUUUGCUCCUCCUCUGUCCAUGGACGUAGGUUAAUUUGACCGAAUCACGUAAAUUUCUGUGUCUUUUAUUUUGUUUUGUUAUUUGUAUUUAUUGGGUUGCCACAACCCUUUUAUAUGGUCAGUCUUACAGCCUAAAGUAUUAUAUGGUCGAUUUUAACUCCUAAACAUUAUAUGGUCGGUUAUACCGCCUACUUUGUGCUAACUUCAGUUUGUUUAUUUCUGGACCAGUUCUAACACUUACACCCUCAUCAAAGUUUCUGGAGUUGCGUAUUAUAGGGGUGCAAACACAAAAACGAGACAUUCUUAAUCAGAUGGAGUUCCUUCUUUUUGCGAUUCAUUCCUCUGCAAACCUCCUCCUCCUCCGAUUUUAAUAUAUGCCACUGUUAAAAUAGGAUACUUUUGUGGGUUUAAGAUUAGAUCGAGACGAACUCUUUUGUGCAAAACAUUUGCCCCAGGCAUCGUUACUACAGAGUAUGUGAUCCAAUUACCAAUGUAAGGUCACAAUGUUAGAGAUGUGAAAUUAUAUUGCAAUGGUCCCUAAAAUCCAACUUGAUCGAUAGGAAUACUAAUUAGGUGAAUACGAGGACUGUGAUUCGACUCUCGAUCUUUCCUCUCAAAUUACAGUAAUAUUUUUAAUCAUACACUCAUCCCCUUACUAACUUCCUAUGGGCCCAAUAUGUUGAGUAGAAUUCGAUUGGAACAACCGAAAAGAAAAGAAAAGAAAACAAAUACAAAACAAUGAAAUAGAGACUUAGUUAGUCAAGUUGGAAGCUAUGAGGAAGUGAGGAGCACAAGUGCGAACAGAUCACCAAGGAAAAAGAAACAAGUUUUUCGAGAAUGCAAUUUGAUUUCAAGCUCAAUCAUAUUCUAAGAGUCAAUGAUAAGAUAGAAAAAAUGUAGGUCCAUUGUUAAGAUAUAGACGGAGAUGGUUGCUUAUUGAGCGUUGGAAGUAUUUCAUAUGCAAGUUGUAAUUAUAUCUCAACUUGUAUAAUUUUAAUUUAAUAAGGUUAAAUUAAUGACCAUGUCAAUGAUUUAUGCGUCAUGCAUGACAUUCUUUUUUCUUGUACUCUCCCAAAAGCUGAAAAUUCUCGUCUCAAUCUCCUCCUCCACCGAUGGCUGCAUGUCUGUACAUGUUUCCCCACAACAAGAAUAAUGAAUCAAUUGCCAUAAUUGCACGCAUUUAAAUUUUCUGAGCUGGUGAUAAAUUGCAUAGUUUUGAUUUUUUUCUAUUUCCGGUUCCCACUCUAGCUACUUCUAGAUUUAUUAAUUGGAAAAAAAAAGAAGAAGGAAUAAAUUAAACCUUAUUUAAUUACUUUUUUAGUCAGGAUAUCUAUAGUAGAUGUAAUUAUCUCUAUAGAAAUGAAUGAAGCAUCCUAGCUUGUGAUCAUUAUCCUCUGUUGCAAUUCUCUUGUUCAAACUUCAAGUUAAGGUUUGUUUGCUAAUUUAAUGGAUUCAGAACUUAAAUUUAAUGGAUUCAAAUCUUAAUAUAUUCAAAUGCUUUUGAUAACCAAAACUUCAAUAUCUGAAUUAAUUAAGUGACACUAAAUUUUCUAGACAAAACUUACUCCUAAAAAUAAGUGAUAAACUAUUUACUUAUCACUUAAUGUGAUAUAUACUCAAAUGUAUCAGAUUUAGUACAUAACAAUUUAAUAACUUAAAGAAUUCAGACUUCAGAUUUCAGUUUUAUCAAACGCAUCUUAACUCAGUGCAAACUGAAUAUGAAAUCCAAAGUGGAAAAUCCAAGAGGUUAGAACUUUGAAACCAUAGGGCCUCUAGGCAAAUUCAGCAUUUUUACAUUCUACUGAUUUAGGGCAUCUUCAAUUAUCAGUUUCAACUCCAUGGUAUAAUAUAGAUAUUACCUCUAAUAGUUGUACACACUUACGCAACAAAUAUAGAUUGUGAAAUUAAUUGUAUAAGUUUGAUAUUUUGUAGGUUUUGGGAUAUAAUUUUCACGUUUAGGAAAAAGAAAAUAUGUUAGUAAGUAAUAAUGUGAUACCCCUUGUCCCACGUUGGAAGUGGGAGAGGAAAAGGAUUGAUAUAUAUACAAGAUUUGGUCGCAUAAGUUACUAGUUACUUGGGCUAACCAUGUCGGAAAGUGUAUUUCGACACAAAAAUUACUUAGGCCAACCAUGGGCUUGGAUGGUGAUAAAUAACUUACUAGAAGCCAGGCAUAUUUAUGUUUAGAUGUCCUAAAAGCAGAGUAGUUCAUAAUCUAGAUAAUGGUAACGAUAUGAUGAGAAUGUGAAGUUAUUUGGUAAACUUUAUAGAUUAAUAAUUUCAUCAAAGCAUCAUAUACAAGCAUGAUGACACAAUCUCAACUUUCAUUCUUUUGUUAAAUCUUAGUUUUUUUCUCUUAAAUUUUUUCGAAUAAAGGAAGGAUGGAAUUUAAGCAGUAGAGGGUGGAAGGGGAUUUUGAAUUCAAAAUCUCUAAUUUCUAAGUUUUUCCCUAAGCAAUCGUCAAAAUAAAAAAAAAAUUUAAAAGAAAAAAAAAUGAGCACCUCAUGGUCAAUGCUCCUGUUCGAAGAUUUAUUCCUUUGGUUUGUCAUCAUCUCCCUCUAUGAAAUCUAAGUACCCUUGGUUGACAAUUUGUUUCCCUGAGCAUCCAUCAACACUUUUAUAUAGUAUUUUUUUUAAUAUAGUAUUAGAUUAGAUUAGAUUAGAUUAUCAAUGCACCAUCAAUAUAGUAUUAGAUUAUCAAUGCACCAUCAAAACACUUUUAUAUAGUAUUAGAUUAGAUUAGAUUAUCAAUGCACCAUCAAUAUCCUUAAAUAUAAAAGCUUAAGUAUAGUAAUCAAAAUACUGUUAGUAAUCUGUACGAUUAUUUUUUAUCCUUUAAUGUUUUAGUUUUAGGAAGAUCACAAAUGCUGCGUAUAAAGCAUGCCAUAGGCUAAAUUAAGCUAAAUUAAGUACACUGCUAAAAUGGAGAGCAUUGCUAAAUUAAGUACCUUAAGAUAAAGACAUAAGCAGCCAGAUCCAUUUGAUGUCAGCUGCUUCAAUAUCCACCUCAAAAUAAAUUAGCCUUUGUUCUAGAUUUAGCUUAAUGCUAAGUCCCUUCACCAUUCUUAGUAAUAAUUCAAUUCUGCCUCAAUUUUCUUCUGAUCUUCAAGGUAAAUGUACGAUAAAUUUCAAAAUAUAUCCCAAAUAUAUGAAUUUCUUGAAACCAUCCUUGAAUCUCAUUACCUACUCAACAAAAUGUUCCAUAAACAUAAAGAAUUGACGAGAACAACAGGGCUCCUUAGAUUUAACAAUUUCAAAUAAGCCCAAGCUAGAAUUUUUCAUAUAUUCAAACAAGAAAUUGGAAAAAUCUGACUAGCUUGCAACGAGUACUACAUCUCAAGACAAAGGAUCUUUUCAGUCACUCUUUUAUUGUAUCGAAAACCUACUUGCAUCUAUGAAUAAGCAAUACUGUGUGAUUUUAGAUGUGAAGCUAAUUCCAUGUGGUAGGACAACUUUGGUUUAAAAAAUAAGGGCAGUCCAAUUCACUCAAUACAAAAAAUAUUUUUAAAUGAUGAUAUUCACAGGAACGUCUAUCUUACUUAAACAAACAAACAAAAAAAAAACAAUAAAAAGGAGAUUGAUUUAGAAAUGUCCGGAGACUUGAGACAUGGACGCUUCAUUAGUCAAUAAUAAUAAAGUCCGGAGACUUGAGACAGGGACGCUUCAUUGAGACUGUUGUGACCAAUUCAGCCCAUAUAGGUAAAAGAAAUGGAAUAAAUCGACAAGAAAUGGUGUCAUCACAUUUUAUUCCACAUUUACCCUUAUAGACCCUAAAAGAAAUAUUGUAACAUAGGACAAACUUUGUCGCUCCGAAGUUGAAUCACUUUUCUAUUCUAUAUACUAAACUUCAAUUUUGGACACUUUGCAUCUGGUUGGAGGCAAAAGCACAGGAAAGCCCUUUUUGAAUGGAAAUAGCAUAAAAGUCUUAGUGAAUGAACAAAUUGAAUAGACCAUUUUGCAGAGCUGUGAGAUAUUCCAAAGCCGUGAAGCACAGUGAUAAGCUACAAAUUAUAGUGGUUUAUAUUUAUUAAUUGUCAAUGAAUGGUUGUAUUUGAGCUAUAAUUUGAAUGGAUGUUGCCUAAUUUAAGUAUAUGUUGGUUUUUGUGGGAAAAGCACGCGAUUGAGGAGGAAAUGAAUCGAAAACGCAACAAAAGGGGAAGAAACGUUGGGUUGCCAAGACACAAGGAUCCGCGGGUGGAUCCUGUGUCCGACGCCAAACAUUGAAAGGGACUUUGCGAGGACUUCUUCUAGUUCUAAUGAUUGGAAAACCCACUAAAACUCGAUUUUUGGCAAGUUUCAAGACCCAUUCUUACCAUAUUUCGGAUACAACUUUCAAGACCCAUUCUUAGUUCAUCAUUUUUAUAUCUUCUUUUCUUGAGAGAUCACAAUGGAAUUGUUGAAGAAUCAAAGGAAGUUCAAGAUGGAGAUUGGAGCGGGGAAAAAUUAAGAAGUUUUCUUUACUUUUAACUUCUUAUUUUGUCUUUCAUUUGAAUUCUUGGAUUUAUCUAUGAAUAUGUUGAACUCAUUUAUAUCUAAAGUUAGGAUUUUGUGAAGGAGAUUUAAUUAUUUGUUCUAGAUAAAUUAUUCGCUUUUGCUUAGAUUUAUUUAUCUUGCCUUUAUUACAUGUUUAUGUUUUGCCACUAUAGAUAUGCUUUUAGGAUUUGUAUUGAGUUGAGAAGCGAUAUACAACCGUACAUUAGAUAGAUAAACAUACUUAGUAUAAUCAUGAAAGUAGGUUAAACAUUGUAUGGCAUAAUUAUAUCACCUAAGAUUUUAAAAGAUUUAAUUAAAUACUUAUAAUCUGAAGAGCAUCGUGAGAUUUAUUAGACAAAUUUAGAAGUAUCAAGAGAUAAUCUAAAGUACUUUUACGUGAUACGUCUUUGACUUGUCAAGAAAAUAAUUGGAUAUAUAAUUCCAAUUCUGAAUCAAAAUUUGAAACUCUGUUUUUUGCUAAUUGUUUUCUCACCCAUAUCUUGUUUGAUUUGAUUAUUUAUUUAAUUUCUUAAUUAGUGAUUAAAAACCCUCUGAAUUUAAAUUUUGUUAUUUUUAUUAGAGGAAUUAAAGUAUGAAAAAUUAACUCACUGCUGCAGGUUCGACCCUACAGUACUUCAAGGGAAUUAUUAUUACGAUCGACCCUGUACAGUUAUAGAAAUUCAUCGAUCACACAGCAACUAAAAAAAAUUAAUGCACAAUAAUGUCAUGAGCAGAAACAGUUCGCAUCUUAGCUGUUCAUCAUUCACGUAGAUUUCAAUUAGUGGUCAACAAAUAAAGGCAUCGAAAAAAGUAAUCCAACUAGAUAAGUGAAUUUAUACUACAACAUAUUUCUUUUUUCUACCGCAAAAACUUAACUAAUUUACGACAAUGUAGUCCAAGCUAAUUGAAGAUUAAUUUUCCCUAAAAAAUGUUCAUGAUAAAAACUCGACAAAGAGAUAAUACAACAGCUUACUUUUGGAGAUGAUCUUAUACGGUAUUUAUUAACAAACCAAUGAGGAGCGACAAAAUGUACAUAGGUUCCCUCCAUAUAUUAGCCACUUAAGCCUUUUUUUUUCCUUUUGGGACUACACAUGACAAAAUGAGGAGUGAAUAAGUCACUUAGCAUCAAAAAUUUUCCCUCCAUAUAAUUAGUUCAACCUGAUUUAAGACUAAAUUUUUACUAUAGGAAUGUUAGUGAUUCAACAAUGAAACACCAUAGAAACUUAUUUUGGGAGAUUGUCCUAGAAGAUAAAAAAUGAGCAACCAAUCAGAAUCCAUUCAGUCUAAUUAAUUCACCAGCUAUGUAUAUUUCAUCCAUUUUCACAUUAUAGAAAGAACAAUAAUGCAUGGCUUUAUCCAUCAUAAAUUGCUCGUAUAACAUCAAGAUAUUCAUGGUGUGGACCGCAAAUGGCUCGUCAUGUCUACUGGCUACAUUUUAAACAUAUCUUAUGGCCAGAAUGAUCAUCUUAUCAACUUAACGAGUUUAUUCAUAGUACCAUACCAUUAAUUUAAAAAAGUUUCAACCUUUUACCUUCUAUAGAUGUCAAGGAAUAUAGCUAAUAACGCACUUUUGGCAGCAAUCUUCCUUCACCCAAUUAAAGAUUUUCGGAGCUUAAAGUUCAGCUCCUAAAGCUCUUCUCCAAGGCUCACCAACCAACAGAGAAAUUACUUUUAGCAAAGUUGUUAAAUUUUGGCAACAGGUUUUGAUGGCAUCUUGGUAAGAUUGGAAGAUUAUACUGCGCUUCUAAGAUAAUGUUUAAAAAAGCUAUUUUAGUGAGGGCAUUAUGGUCAAUUUGCCCCUGAUGAUAUUGACAUUAGGUCCCAUCAACAUCAGAAGGGAGCUCAUUGUAUUAUUGGAUAUAACAAGGGUGCUAGUGAAAUUAUGAAAACCCCAAGGGAGGUUUUUGAAAUUAACCCUAAAAUACUCAUUCCACGCGAGGCGUGGCGUUCCCCUCCUAGUUCCUAUAAAUAGGGCACCAACUCAAUGCACUUAUCACUCGAUAUCAAUAAUUUAGCACAUUAUUUACAUUUUGAGUGAGAUUGUGAUCAAAUGGCAUCUUCAAAAAAUUUGCUCUUUCUUAUUGGUGUUCUCUUUGCACUUGUGCUCCUCAUUUCCUCUGAUGCAGCAGCUGCAGGUGCCUAGUCCUUUUUUUUUUUUCCUUUCUUCCUUUUUUUUUUUGGCUGCACCUAAACACUUAAAUGAAUGGAGAUUUGGAGACUCAUUAUUGGGAUGUGAAUUUUUAUGGAAGUCUAUUUGCAUAUUAUCUAGCAAGUCAUAUUAAUGUGCUAAUAUCUUUUUCAUUGUUUAGCAAAAGUAAAUUUGGGUUGCUUCUAUCAAUGGUUAGUGGCACAUCUGAUUUUUCAUGCAUCCUUAUAGUAUUGCUGUAAGGAUACACGUUCCAUAGUGUCGCACCAAAGAUUAAACUAACGUUGAAAACCAAAUUAAAUGCUUCUAAUUAUAAUUUAAAGCAAAAUAAUUCAUAUCCAAGUCGCACCAUCUUAUAUGCCUGGACUGUUUUGUUUAAUCCAUAUUCUUUUCUUUGCAUAUAUCUUGCAAAUUUUCAGCCUAGCCGGUCACCUAACGUUCGCAGCUUAAGAUAAAGCUCCAAAUAUUUAUGUCUCCUUGUGUCUUGAAACAGAUCAGAAGAGCAAUAAAACCACUGGUGUCCACGAUGCCAGUUCAGGCGAGGUUCAUCAGGAUAGCAUAAGCGAAGAUCGUUGCACAUAUGGUUGCUGCCGCUGGUACAAUGGAUAUUGCCAAAGAUGCUGUCCACCUCGUGAGAAUUGCAGAUAUGGUUGCUGCAGCUGGUACAAUGGAUAUUGCCAAAGAUGCUGUCCACCUCCUGAGAAUUGCAGAUAUGGUUGCUGCCGCUGGUACAAUGGAUAUUGCCAAAGAUGCUGUCCACCUGCUGGGUAGACCCCUGAAGCUACAUCCGGAGAUGAGGUCAAAAAUUAAUGCUAAAUAAAUAAGGGUGUGACACAGGAUCCGUGACACCUAUAUUAUUACCUUAAUAUGUUAUGUUGUGUUUG
rnacentral:lncRNA from 1 species